rnacentral:rRNA from 1 species
CCUACGGGUGGCAGCAGUGAGGAAUAUUGGUCAAUGGACGAGAGUCUGAACCAGCCAAGUAGCGUGAAGGAUGACGGCCCUAUGGGUUGUAAACUUCUUUUAUAUGGGAAUAAACUGUUCCACGUGUGGGAUUUUGUAUGUACCAUAUGAAUAAGGCUCGGCUAACUCCGUGCCAGCAGCCGCGGUAAUACGGAGGAUCCGAGCGUUAUCCGGAUUUAUUGGGUUUAAAGGGAGCGUAGGUGGAUUGUUAAGUCAGUUGUCAAAGUUUGCGGCUCAACCGUAAAAUUGCAGUUGAAACUGGCAGUCGUGAGUACAGUAGAGGUGGGCGGAAUGCGUGGUGUAGCGGUGAAAUGCUUAGAUAUCACGAAGAACUCCGAUUGCGAAGGCAGCUCACUGGACUGCAACUGACACUGAGGCUCGAAAGUGUGGGUAUCAAACAGGAUUAGAUACCCUAGUAGUC